AAUGAUCCACCAAUCUGGCAGAAUCGACUCUGGUAUAGUACCGGCGAAGUGCGUCCUCAAAAUAAAUGAAGAUCGCAGGGUCAGACCACAGGACGGGAGACCGGAACAAAACACCCGCUUAUGCAAAUGAUGCAUGAAGUGCUUGUGCAUAUGCUUGUUUUUUAUUUCAAAGGAACUCGAGGGUUUUAUUUGCAAAUUUUGAAAUAUUUAAGCAUUUUGAUCAUACAUGAGAAUAUCUCAUCAGAUACAUCAGGUGAAAA
rnacentral:lncRNA from 1 species